UUUCAUGUAGCUCAAUCAGUAAAGCAUCUGCCUGCAAAACAGCAGAUCUGGGUUCACUUCCUGGGAUGAGAA
rnacentral:tRNA from 1 species